CCCGCCCCACGCCCGCCCCGCCCCGCGCCCGCCGCCUUCCCAUUGGCUGCGGCCGCCCAGUCCCCGGUUCCUCCGCCGUGGUUGGGGCAUCCUAGCUGGCCGCCUCGCAGGUCCCUCUCACCCCCUGCGCCGCCGACGCACCGUGCCCUCCUCCUUUGCGGGCUCUCUCAUUCUCAAACCCAGGUCGACCCACUCUUCCCGCCCACUGGCCCGCCGCAGCUCCCACCAUUGGCUGGCGGCACCUGUCCGUUUCCUGGGAGAGUUCAGCACCUCCCGGCAGGAAGAGGCUCCGGCCUCAUUGGGUGCCUGAGGAGGGAAGGGUGGAUCCUAAAAGGUAAUGCUGAGCCUUCAUUCAAACUAAAAGGCUGGAAGGGAGGCCGCUGCCUUUGUUUGCCAUGGAUGAGUAGGGGCUGCACUGAGCAGCACCGGUGUUCUUCAUCCGGCUGCACCCCCAACAGAGCUCUUUCUUCCCCAGAUCCCUUUUACAGGUGGAUUCUCCCUCUUGGAUCUGGCUUUGCCUUAGUCCAACCUAGAGGGAUCAGCUUCGCCCACGCCCACUCUCACCCGGAACCUUUCAUCUCUUUUUGAAGCCUUUUAGGCCCAUUGGGAUGUUCAUUAGAAGAACUCUGAAAACUACAGUUCUCCCCUUUAUGAGGACUGCACCACAGCUCGCCCUCUUCUGGGAUCCGGUAAGAAGAGAUUCCAAUACCACUCUUUUUUCAGAAUUCAGAAAGACAAGAGACCACCUUACUGGGCUUCAAACGGGCUGGGAACGCCGCCAUGAAUUGGGCUCGGUCUGUCUGAAGGGAGCCAACUUUUCGACAAUCCUUAGGCUUCUUUUGCCUGUUGGAAUUACACCUUGGAUCGUGGCGAAGCCUACAAAGGUCAGAUUAAGAAGAACCAAAGCAGAAUAAACGUAGAAGCCGAUGCUGAGUUCAUGAGUGAGGACGACCUCUUCCUAUAUGCUUUUGCUAUACCCUGCGUUUUGAACAUUAAGAACGAGAUAGGAGGCCCACGAUGUUUCUUCUUGCUUUAAUCCUAUCAUGGCAACGUUGACUUCCAGUAAGAAAGAAACAAGGUCUCACUGUGUUACCCAGGCUGGAGAGCAGUGGCACAAUCAUAGCUCACUGAUCACAUGGAUGGCAGCCUCAAACUCCUGGACUCAGUGGGUCCUCCUGCCUCAGCAUCCUGAGUAGCUGAGACUACAGGUGCAUGCCACCACGCCUGGCUAAUUUUGUUAAUUUUUGGUAGAGAUAAGGACUCACUGCGUUGCCCAGGCUGGCUUCAAACUCUUGGCCUCAAGUGAUCCUCCUGUCUCCAUCUCUUCAAAUGCUGGGAUUACAGGUUUGAGCCACCGUGCCUGGCCCCUUUGACCUUUUCUAAAAGAGCCAGCCCACCACUUUCACCUCUCAUGUGUUCCAUUUCAGGAAAGAAGCCCUAGUUCCUGAUUCAUAAACUCCAUUUGCAUUAAAUAUGAUUUUAAGCAAAUGGUUUGGGCAGAUGUGUGGCAGGGCUGAUGGAACAGACCUUUGGAGUCAGACCCAGAUUUGAAUUCUUUAUCAACUUGUCAUGACUGUGGGAGGCCUUUCACCUCUCUGAGCCUCUGUUUCAUUGUUGGUAACAUGAGAUUGUAUAAAAUGGGGAUGCUGUGAAGUUUAGAUGAAGUAAGAGGUCCUCCUGGCAGUGCCUAAUACAUAAUAAUAAGUGCUUAAUAAAUUGUAAAUGUUAUUACAAUUGAUAGUAUUUAAUUCCUCUAUGAGGAAUUAUGAGUUAAUGCAGCAUGAACCACCAAAAAGGUAAGGAAUCUUUCGUCUUUUAGGAAAACCUCAGUUCAGAAAAGCAAUAAACUAUGGGGGGCUGUUUAGAAUGUCGCGUCUCUGGAGAGCAAGUUGCAUUUUAACAAUGAUCAGAGCCUUUAAUUAAGGAGUGAAGGUCAAAUCAUUUCUGCUUCAUCCAGCCUGGUUGCAGAGUGAGCCCAUGGGACAGCCCUCUGAAAUUAUACUGCUUGCAACCAUGCUGAGUCUGCAAGGACUUCAUCCAAGCCUUUCCAUCCAGGACCUCAAACAGAUCCAAUCACAAGAAGAGAGAUUUCAGGAAAGAGAAAAUUAUUACUAUCAUCGGGGUUUUCGAAGAACAUGAAAUGACUGGGAAAAUAAUCAUGUUAAGUGGAAAAAAAAGAAAUCUAUCUGUUGUAAUUUUCAAAUAAUUUUUAAAUAAAUUUGAAAAAUUAAGAGAACUAUAUAUGUAAUAUAUUCCUAAUCUUAUGAAAAACAUAUAUGCAUUAAUAUUAUUGAAAGAAAUAUAUCAAAAGGUGAACAGCAAUUAUCACCAAUCUAGAUUAUGAGAUCAGGAGUGAUUUUUUUCUUUGUCCUGUACUAUUUAAUAUUUUCUACCAUUAAAAUAUUCUGAUUUUCUAAUUAGAAUAGUAUGUUAGACAAAGAAGGGCAAAUAUCAUGUGAACUCUCACUCUCUUAUGGAACAGAUCUUGUGGAAUCUAAAAAAGUUAAACUCAUAGAAAAAGAGGAAAAUGAUGGUUACUAGUUAGCAAAAUGGAAUAAGUUCAAGAGAUCUAUUGUACACCAUGGUCAAUACAGUUAAUAACAAUAUAUUUUAUACUUUAAAAUUGCUAAGAUAGUAGAUUUUAAGUGUUCUCACCACACAAAAAAAUAUGUGAGGCAAAGCAUAUAAUUAGCUUGAUUUAACCACUCCACAGUGCAUACAUAUGUCAAAACAUCAUGUUGUGUACUAUAAAUAUAUACACUUUUUGUCAAUUUUAAACAGGUUAUUAAAAAACAGUAUGUUAUUGUUGAUAAUUAUGAAAAAUUUUAAUGAUGUGGAAAUGUGUACAGUAUAAUAAUAAAUGAAAGAGUAGUAAAAAAUCCUUAUAAAAUAUAAUUACAAAUAUGUUGGGUGGAUAAUAUAAAAAUCUUAACAGCUAUUUCUGAGCUAGGUGGUGGAGCAUGGGUAAUUUUUAGUGCCUUCUGUGUCAGGCUGUUCUUGGCAUUGCUAUGAAGAAAUACCUGGCCAGGUGCGGUGGCUCACGCCUAUAAUCCCGAUAUUUUGGGAGGCCAAGGCAGGUGGAUCACCUCAGUUCAGGAGUUCGAGACCAGCCUGGCUAACAUGGUGAAACCCCGUCUCUACUAAAAAUACAAAAAUUAGCCAGGUGAGGUGGUGCGUACCUGUAGUCCUAGCUGCUGGGGAGGCUGAGGCAGGAGAAUCGUUUGAACCUGGGAGGUGGAGGUUGCAGUGAGCCGAGAUAGCCUGGAUAACAGAUCAAGACUCUGUCUCAAAAAAAAAAAGAAAAAAAAAAAAAGAAAUACCUGAGAAAAGGUAAUUUAUAAAGGAAAGAGGUUUAACUGGCUCACGAUUCUGCAGGUUUUACAGAAAGCAUAGCAGCAUCUGAUUUUAGGGAGGCCUGAGGAAGCUUCCAAUGCUGGCAUAAGGCAACGAGGAGCAGGCACAUCACAUGGUGAAAGCAGGAACGAGAGAGAGAGUGACGGGGGAGGUGCCACACACUUUUACACAAUCACAUCUCAUGAGAACUCACUAUCCUGAAGACAGCACCAAGGGGAUGGUGCUAAACCAUUCAUGAAAAAUCUGCCCCCAUGAUCCAAUCGCCUCCCACCAGGCCCCACCUCCCGAAUUGGGGAUUACAAUUCAACAAGAGAUUGGGGUGGGGACAGAUGGCCAAACUAUGUCACCUUCAUUUUACUUUUCUUUAUUUUUCCUACAGCAAAAAUAACCAUGUGAUAUUUGUGUAAUUGUAAUAAAGAACUACAAAAUCA